rfam:Streptomyces sp. NRRL F-6491 P443contig94.1, whole genome shotgun sequence.
CUUCACGGAGCCGAGGAGCAGCGGCUGCCCCUCCGGCCGCUCCUGGCCGUACGUGGCGAGCAGCGCGUCCGCCUC